UAUUUGAGAGGAACACCCCUUCUUUUCAAAUUCCCAAAUCCUCAUGCUAGGAGCCGAGGCCUGAAUUUCAGGGUCCAAAGCCUUCUUUGCAGGUCCAAACCCCAAUUUGGAGGCAACAAAUCAUCACUUUUGGAUCCAGAGGAAGGUGGGCCACGCUGCCCUGUCACAGCAACAGCCUGCUGCACCGCCUGUCUGUGACCAGGCCACACGGGACACCUCGGUUUUGACAAGGCGCCCUCCACAGUGCAGUGCAGCCAGCGGAGAUGCAACUGUCUUUUCAUCGCCUACACCCUCCAUUUUUGGACCCAGGCUCUCAUUUUUAGGGCCCAAAGCAUUCUUUUUAGGCCCCAGAGUCACAUAUUAGGGCAGAAAGCCUCUUUCUUGGGCUCCGAAGCCUUGUUUGAAAGGAUAAACCCUCCUUUUCACUAGCUUUUUCUUGCUUACAGCCACACUCAUAUGGACCAGGCAUACAUUUUGGGGACACAAUGCCCUAUUUUUAGGGUCCACACUUUCAUUGCAAGGUGCAAAGCAGCCUUUUAGAUGGCGAGGCCUUAUUUGAGAGGAACACCCCUUCUUUUCAAAUUCCCAAAUCCUCAUGCUAGGAGCCGAGGCCUGAACUUCAGGGUCCAAAGCCUUCUUUGCAGGUCCAAACCCCAAUUUGGAGGCAACAAAUCAUCACUUUUGGAUCCAGAGGAAGGUGGGCCACGCUGCCCUGUCACAGCAACAGCCUGCUGCACCGCCUGUCUGUGACCAGGCCACACGGGACACCUCGGUUUUGACAAGGCGCCCUCCACAGUGCAGUGCAGCCAGCGGAGAUGCAACUGUCUUUUCAUCGCCUACACCCUCCAUUUUUGGACCCAGGCUCUCAUUUUUAGGGCCCAAAGCAUUCUUUUUAGGCCCCAGAGUCACAUAUUAGGGCAGAAAGCCUCUUUCUUGGGCUCCGAAGCCUUGUUUGAAAGGAUAAACCCUCCUUUUCACUAGCUUUUUCUUGCUUACAGCCACACUCAUAUGGAC